GGUGCUGUGUGCAGGAAUUGGGCACAGUACCCUGCUUUUGCUCCUGGAGCCUCAGAAGUGGCAACUGGAGAUGUCUGUCUUAAGUGCAAGCACUCUAGUAAAGGUUGCCAAGUUUCAGGUCCCAGCCUGACUCACAAGGACCUCUUUUUGGGAAGCAGACCCGCUCCAGAUGAAAACUGCUGACCACAAAAAUGUAGACCCUAGACUGGUUGAAACCAGAAAAUUGAUGAUGCUUGAAACUUCACCUAAAUGCCAACCAAUCCAAGAAUGGUCCACGAGCUGAUCAUGCCCUACUCCCUGAACACUGUGAUACUCCUCACUGCCCGCUCCAGAGUGGGUCACAGUCUUUAGGACAUCAGCCCACUUGGUCCCUUUUGCCUGGCAAAGAAAUAAAAGCUACUCUUCUCUACUC
ensembl:lncRNA